AGGCGGCGUGACCUUCCCGGGCGUCCAGGGAAGCGGCGAGAGCUGCCACGCACGUGCCGCGGGACCCGCGCGCCGCCCAGGGAUGGCCCGCCGGGGUCGCUGGAGAAUCUCAGGGUCAUCGGCCUCCUUCCCCCAGUGCCUACCUGGAUAUGUGGUGCCUGUCAUAAGGUCCAGCGAGCUGCCUUCCACGAGACCAGCAGAAGAGUGGGCAAACGUGAAGUCCAGUCCUGCUGCCCAGGCUGCCAUUGACCUCACGGCGGGGGCUGCAGGUUCCUGCUUCUCCACGCCAAUGACAUGGUGAGAGAAUACAGGGGGAGCUGAAGACAAACAACAUAAACUUAUGUUUGCAAAGCACCUUUUACUCUGUGAAAUAAAGUGAGUGCAAGCAGUAAAUGGAACAACAAGCUUUCAGAGUCACUGCAGGGCAAGAGCUGGGGAAGGAAGAGCUGGCUGGUCAGGGAGGAUGCACUGGAGAGAAAAACCAUCACUCAAUUGGCUAGGACAUUCCAGGACAUCAGGGAGACCACACAACAGCCAGAGUGUCUCUUCUCCUCCAAAUGAACGCAACACCUCUCCAGCAAGGGCACAGAACUGGGCUGAGGCUGAGUAUUGCUGAGGCAAUACCGUUUAGAACAUAGGCACGGGUAAGGAUUUCAUGACAAAAACACCAAAAGCAAUUGCAACCAAAGCAAAAAUUGAUAAAUGGGAUCUAAUUGAACCUAAGAGCUUCUGCAUAGCAAAAGAAACUAUCAUCGGAGUGAACAGACAGCAUACAGAAUGGGAGAAAAUUUUUGCAAUCUGUCUGUCUGACAAAGGCCUAAUAUCCAGAAUCUAUAAGGAACUUAAACAAAUUUACAAGAAAAAAAACAACCCCAUUAAAAAGUAGGCAAAGAACAUAAACACACACUUCUCAAAAGAAGGCAUUCAUGUGGCCAACAAACAUAUGGAAAAAAAAAGCUUAACAUCACUGAUCUUUAGAGAAAGGCAAAUCAAAACCACAAUGAGAUAUCAUCUCAUGCCAGUCAGAAUGGCAAUUAUUAAGAAGUCCAGAAACAACAGAUACUGGCAAGGUUGCAGAGAAAAAGGAAAGCUUUUACACUGUCGAUGGGAAUGUAAAUUAGUUCAACCCUUGUGGAAGACAGUAUGGCAAUUCCUCAAAGAUCUAAAGGCAGGAAUAGCAUUUGACGCAGCAAUCCCAUUACUGGAUAUAUACCCAAAGGAAUAUAAAUCAUUCUGUUAUAAAUAUACAUGCACCUGUAUGUUUAUUGCAACACUAUUCACAAUAGCAAAGACAUGGAAUCAACCCAAAUGCCUAUGAAUGAUAAACUGGAUAAAGACAAUGUGGUACACAUACACCAUGGAAUACUAUGCAGCCAUAAAAGGGAAGGAGAUCAUGUCCUUUGUAGGGACACAGAUGGAGCUGGAAGCUGUUAUCUUCAGCAAACUAAUAGAGGAACAGAAAACAAAACAACACAUGUUCUCACUUAUAAGUGGGCGCUGAAUGAUGAGAUCACAUGGACACAUGGCAGGGAAGAAAACACACUGAGGCCUGUUGCGGGGAGGGCCUGAUGGGGGGAGGGAGAGCAUCAGGAAGAACAGAUAAUGGAUGCUGGGCUUAAUACCAAGGUGAUGGGUUGAUCUGUGCAGCAAACCACCAUGGCACACAUUUACCAAUGUAACAAAACUGCACAUCCUGCACAUGUACUCCAGAACUUAAAAUAAAAGUUGAAGGAAACAAAAACAAAAAUGAGGCCGGACGUGGGAGCUCACCCCUGUAAUCCCAGCACAUUAGGAGACCAAGGUGGAUUGUUCACGAGGUCAGGAGUUUGAGACCAGCCUGACCAACAUGGUGAAACCCCAUCUCUACUAAAAAUACAAAAAUUAGCCAAGUGCGGUGGGGGGCACCUGUAAUCCCAGCUACUCAGGAGGCUGAGGCAGGAGAAUCACUUGAACCUGGGAGGUGGAGGUUGCAGUGAGCCAAGAUGGCGCCAUUGCACUCCAGCCUGGGUGACAGAGCAAGACUUCAUCUCAAAACAAAACAAAAAACAAAAAUAAAAAACCCUUUAUAAAUA
rnacentral:lncRNA from 1 species